rnacentral:rRNA from 1 species
UUAAAGAGUUCUAUAACUCCCAAACCCAUGUGAACAUACCUAACGUUGCCUCGGCAGGUCGCACCUACCUUGUAGCACCCUACCCUGUAGGGCCUACCCGGGAGGUGCGGGUAAGCCUGCCGGCGGCCCACCAAACUCUGUUUGAUAUUGAAUUCUGAACCUAUAACUAAAUAAGUUAAAACUUUCAACAACGGAUCUCUUGGUUCUGGCAUCGAUGAAGAACGCAGCGAAAUGCGAUAAGUAAUGUGAAUUGCAGAAUUCAGUGAAUCAUCGAAUCUUUGAACGCAUAUUGCGCCCAUUAGUAUUCUAGUGGGCAGGACCGUUCGAGCGUCAUUUCAACCCUUAAGCCUUCGUUGCUUAGUGUUGGGAGCCUACGGCAACGUAGCUCCUCAAAGUUAGUGGCGGAGUUGGUUCACACUCUAGACGUAGUAAUUUUUUAUCUCGCCUAUUAGUUGGACUAAUCCCCUGCCGUAAAACCCCUAAUUUAUCAAGGUUGACCUCGAAUCGGUUCAGACAAACUCGCUAAAUUGAAGCAUCUUAGUCAGCGAAGGAAAAGAAACCAACAGGGAUUGCCCUAGUAACGGCGAGUGAAGCGG